rnacentral:rRNA from 1 species
GAUGAACGCUGGCGGCGUGCCUAAUACAUGCAAGUCGAGCGAGUGGAUUAAGAGCUUGCUCUUAUGAAGUUAGCGGCGGACGGGUGAGCAACACGUGGGUAACCUGCCCAUAAGACCGGGAUAACUCCGGGAAACCGGGGCUAAUACCGGAUAACAUUUUGAACCGCAUGGUUCGAAAUUGAAAGGCGGCUUCGGCUGUCACUGAUGGAUGGGCCCGCGUCGCAUUAGCUAGUUGGUGAGGUAACGGCUCCCCAAGGCAACGAUUCGUAGCCGACCUGAGAGGGUGAUCGGCCACACUGGGACUGAGACACGGCCCAGACUCCUACGGGAGGCAGCAGUAGGGAAUCUUCCGCAAUGGACGAAAGUCUGACGGAGCAACGCCGCGUGAGUGAUGAAGGCUUUCGGGUCGUAAAACUCUGUUGUUAGGGAAGAACAAGUGCUAGUUGAAUAAGCUGGCACCUUGACGGUACCUAACCAGAAAGCCACGGCUAACUACGUGCCAGCAGCCGCCGUAA